ensembl:lncRNA MIR9-2HG MIR9-2 host gene
CCAGAGACCAACUUGAAUUCUGGGCAGUGUUUCAGAAGAGUGUUCAAUUUUCAAACCUUUUGCUAUGUUGUUUCUGGGGCUACAUGCAUGGACUUCUAAGAAGUUUUCUCAAGAUUUCAACAGCUCCUUUCUUUCAUUGGAAGGAGGAGUAACACCAUUUCUUUAUUGUAUGGCAGAGAUAGAAGAUAAGGCUCUGCCCACAGUCUCCAGGCUGCAGCAUCUGGUGAGGAAGGGAAGGUGUAUGGCUGCAUUGUUUUUCUCUUGGUGUUCAACUGGAAUAGAGCAGGAAAUUGCUUUGGAGAUGAGGAAACAAACUCUUAUGGAUUCUCUUCAGAGGACAAGAGAAGAUGUUACAUUCUCUGCAUGAGGACAAUUCUGCAGCAUCAAAAUCGAAUAAUAUUUGUUUUCUGGCAGCAGAAUUUUGUAUCAUAUUUCUAAAGACAGUAAGCACUUGGGUGGACGUCAAUGAAUACUAAACACUAAUUGAUCUGAUACAGCCGUAUGCACAUACACAGAUAUACAUGGUGGCUUGUAAUGGUUGAAAAAUUACGGUUUGGUUUUAUUAAAAGAUCUGUCACUUUUAGGUCAGAGUGGGAUUUUGGAGGGAUAGUCUCCCACAAUAGAAAACUACCCUGACAACAGUGGUGUUUUGAGGUUGUUUGUUGUUUGGCUUCUUGAUGAUGCUUAGCUAAGGAGACACUUCCUUUCAGAUUCUGUCUUCCAAACCCCAGGGCUCUGUUCUGGGCAGUUCAGCCUAAUGGAAUUAAGCCUGACAUGUUUCAACUCUAUUUCUUGAUAAAAUAAACAUAAAACAAUGGUUUAGAUUUCGAAUAAAACUCUUGAAGCAUGGGGUACUCUAACUUUCCCUGUUCUUUACACAUCUGUAAAUAAAGUGCAUAAAAGAGGAACACAACAGGAUAAAUCAACAUAAAUUUGAAAUCCACUGCAGCAUAUUAAAUGGCGCAGUCUCAGUCAAAGAGAGGCUGACCCCGCGGCUUCGUGCAGUUUGAAGCUAAUUGUUUUCGUCAGGAUGGGAACGUCUGGAAGUCCAUGGCUGUAUCCCACCAGUAAGGCUCCAGUAACUGAGCCGGCCCACAGAGAAUGGGCCCACUUUGUAGCGACACAGCGGGCUCAGACACCACCUAUUCUGCUCUCCAAACUGUCAUGCAUAACAACUUUAUUGUGCUAAAUUGAACUUGAAAGCAACCAAAGGCUAUGAGAAGGAGAGGCUAUGAGAAAAGCGUGCUGUCAGCGCCGGCAAAGGCUGACCUGGAAAGUAGGCUCAGAGACAGGGGAAUAAAAGACCAGGCCCCAUGAACACAGCAUAUUGUUUCAUUUUAAAGUAUGAUUCCCAUACCAGAGAAAGUAGCAAAUGUGAUGUAAAUUUAUUUAAAUAGAUUCGACCGCUUAAAAGUUUGCCAGCCGCUCUUAUCCAACUUUCCCAGCUCUCUGAUUCGUUACUUACAGUGGGAAUAUAAUGACAUAUAGUCAUCAUUGUAACAGCUUCUUUGCAGGGGCACAAUGAUGAUUAAUAGCCAGCAGCAAAUUUUCACAUGGGCUCUGAAGCACUAUGGCAUUAAGCAGCCAAACAGUCCCAAAUCCCCCUUUUCUGUUCCGCUGAAAAGUCCCCUCCUUGUACCUUCCAGAUAGGAACAAAGCCUAUCUUAAUUCCAAUCAGCUUUUCGUCAUUCAAAGGGACCUUCUCUUUUUCAUAAUUGAUUCAUGUGCAUUUUUUAGUGUUCCACUGAGCUGAAGCCACUUUUCUCCUUUCCUCUGUUCUGUCCCCACACCCACACCCCCUUUUUUUGAGGGGGUGAGGAGUGGGAAACAUUUCAACAACAACAACAACAGUAAAAAAUGGUGUGGUAGUUUCCCCCGCAAAUAUUUGCUAAAUAGAUUUCUCAAUUAGUAUUAGCUUUACACUUAAAAGUCUUAAAACAAAAAUUAACUCCUGGACUUCUUUUUUGUUGGAAGUGGUUUUGGUUAUAAAAAUAUGAGC